rnacentral:lncRNA from 1 species
GGGCUUAAGUAGAAAAAUUUAGAGAUUUCUAUUCCCUUCCCUCUUCACCUUUACCCAUUCAUUCCCAUAUCAACCCUAUUUUACCCUCACAAAUUCUCACCUCAAAAACACUCAACGGUAGCCAUUUCUUGCUUCCUCCGACUCCGGUAUUCCAUCCCUUCAUCCAAGGUCAGGUAAACAUUUUUUGGUGUUCUUGUUAAUUUUGUAUUUGUUUAUGGUUUAAGGUAAAUGACGAAAUUCUAAUUUUUUUCCCUUCUUUUAUUUUAUUUUUUUAGAUUUUUUUACUUGAUUGAUCAUCUGGAUGUUUAUGGGUUGUCGGUGCGGUUGAUUUGGGGUUUCGGAUUAUAGUUUAGGGUUGUGAAUUUCCUUUUUCUUUUAAAUUACUUAUUUUAAGUUGAUUGAUGGAACCUUGUGUUGGUAAUAAUUUUCGACUUGGUCGUAAGAUCGGCAGUGGCUCUUUUGGAGAGAUCUAUCUGGGUUCGUCCCAUGCUUUUUUUCUCCCUUUACCUAUUUGAGUGUAAGUUGGUGUUUUUUUUUUUUAUAAUCUCCCUUUUUAGGUACGAACAUUUAGACCAACGAAGAGAUUGCCAUUAAGCUUGUGAGUAGUCUUUGUUUAAAAUUUACUUUCUAUUUUUCUUGAUUUUCUUGCUUUUUGGUUGUUUUCUUGUAUGGUGACUGUAGUUUGUUGCUUUUAAGUUUUAACAUUCUAAAAAGUAGCGAUGUAAUUGCUGCUCUGUUUAGGUUUUAACCUGACCUUGUUUCUAUUAAAUUUCAUGUGUUAACUAAUGUUUAGAACUUAGUGAUACAGUCGAGCCAUGUUGUCAUAAUGUUAAGGUAAGGAGUUGUGGAAAUCUUUUAUUCAUUAGUUAGUUGGCUUCUAGCCGAAGUGCAUGUGAAGGAGAAAUUCUAUUUCGAUUUCUUUGAGGUGGUUCAGGGGAAGCAUGGAAAUUAAUGUUUAUCAAUCAAUCAAUGAUGCUUAUAAGUUUCUGUCAAAAAAAAAAGGCUUCAUAUAAAUGUUUAAGUGGUGAAAAGCCUUUGGAGGAACUGCCCCUAGCAAAAAAAAAAAAAAAACAAAAAACAAAAAACAAAAGAAAAGAAAGAAACGCUGCGACUGAUUUUUCAAAAGCUAUGAGAUCUGAGGCCUUUCUCAUUUCCUUCUACCACUUUUUGCAAAAUACCCAUUUUUUAUAUUUGAUUCUUAAGUCAUUCUUCUUUUACACCGUUGUAGUUUUGUGAAGAAUGAUGAUGCAAGCACGGGGCUUUUGGCAGCUGUAAUCCUGAUGCAAAUUUUCUAUUAAGUAAUUAGCAAAAUGACAGAUUGGCAGUGCGUUUUUCUCAUUGGGAUGUCUUGUUUGAGUUUUUUUGGCUUACUUGGUCUGUGAAUGUUGCCAAUCCCACUGAAUAUAUCUUAUUUGCAGUUUACAAUAUAAAAAUGCAUAGUCUUUGUUGCUAGGUCUAGUAAUUGAUACCUCUCUUGGAACAACUCAGAUAAAGCUUUGUCUUUCCUAAAUGCAAAAUGUAUUUGCUUUGGGACAGGCAUGUUAAACUUUGUUAGGCCUUUUAUGAUGCGCUUCAUGUGUCGAUUUCAUCAAUUGUAGCAUCUUUCUCUUCUUAAAUUGCUACUUUGAAGCAUUGAAAAUUUAGUUGCCUGAGAGUCACUCUUUUUCUUGUGUAACCUGAAUUAGUACUUUCCAUGUUUAUUAUUUGCUUAUAAAUUAUAAAAAAUAUGUUAUCUGGUAAUCCUUAUUGUUCAUCUUGGUUCUACUGAAGCUAGAUACUCAAUCUGUCAUUGGUUUUGAUACUAUCUUCUUAGUAUAUGUUUACAAGAAUUUCAGAGGCUCUGACUAUGGCCAAUGACGAGUUUUUAACAUAGCAAAUAAUGGUCAAAUGUAGAUCACUCUACAUGAGUAUUUGUUAACUUGCAGAGGCAUACCAAUUAUUCGAUAUGCGGUUAGCAUGUUUCUUUGAUAGAUUGAUUUGUUUUAAGAUGUAUUACUUGUGCUUUAAUUUUGUAUAAAGUUGGUUUCUUAUUUUAGUGUGUAUAUUGAAGAUGGAUGUUGUUAUUUUCCAUGUCAAAUCGAUCGUGGGUGUUAAGCUAGCCAGGUUUUUUACUACUUUCUUUCUUGAUGAAUUAGUUAGUUUGUGACUGAUUAGAGGAUUAUGUCCGACAUUUUUAGUUUAAUUUUCACCUUUGUCCCUGCCUUCUGUUUGAGUAUUUUAAUUUGAUCUAUGUUUUAGUUAAAUGAGUGGUUGAAGGUAGCAACAAGUAGGGGAAAAAUAUCACUCAAGGUUGUGCUAAGGUAGCAACAAGACAAUAUAUACAUGUUAAACUACAUUUACAAUUUGGAUUUGAUCUUUUUACUUUAAACAAGAACAUUUUGGUUAUAUUUAAUUUUCGAUAUGUUUUUAUUUUUGAUAUGUUUCAUUUAAAACUAUUGUAAUCUUUUAAUAUAUUUUUAAACUAUUUUUAUUUUCGAUAUCUUUAAUUUAUGUUAUAUUUAAUUUUGGUCUUCAAACAAUGUUUUAUGUUACUUAUAUUGUUUGAUUAAAAAUUAUAAUUAACAUUACAAAAAUUAUCUCAAUAAACGAAACAAAAAAAAGUAAGUACAAUGCUACAAACAAAUCAUGUUAUGGUAAGAAUGUAAUGUAUAUGGAGUUUUUAGAUUUUAUUUAAAUACAAAUAAUAAUCCAAUCUUUUAAAAUACAUAAUUUUUAAGAUAUUUAACACACUAUAUACCUAUAAUCGAAUUGAAUUAAUACAAAAUGAAAAAAAUUAAGACAUUAUUUUCUUUUCUAAUAAAAAUUAUUAAAUUCAUAUUAUUUUUUUCAUUUAGUGACUAUGAAUAAUUUAGUGACUAUGACUAUGACUAUGACUCAAGGAGACAACUCUGAAUGAACUAUAAAUAAUAAUGGGAUUGUAGAGAAUGUUGCAUAUGAACAUGAAAUAUAUUAAAUUAAUGAUUAAAUUUAUUUAUUUAAAUUCAGAAAAUUCAAAUACGAAGCUAGAUCGAGGAAAAGAAAAAGUUCUGGAUUAGUAGAUUUUUACAUACAAACAAGUAUCGAGGUAAGUUUAUGUAACUUGAAUUAUAUUCUUAAAUGCUUGAAAUAUAUUUUUCUUGAUGUGAAUAUGAUUUGGAUGUUUAUUGUAUGAUAAUUGAUGAAAUAUUGAUAUUCUUGAUGAAAAGAGAAAAUAAAUCCCGGUUGAAUGAAAGGACAAUUCGAUGGAUCUUUGAAAAGGAAUUGACGGUAAAAAGGAUCUAACCCGGACGGGUGAUCUUAUCCUGAUAUAGCACUCCCGAAUAAUAUGUGGAAAAUGGAUUUAGCCCGGACGGGUAAUUCGAAUUAGGGUCUGAAUUUAUCUUAGACUGGUAAUUCAAAUCCAAGCUCAUUAGAGUAAUUGUCAUUGCAGGGAUUUAGCUUGGACUGGUAAUCCCGACAAUACUCUAUGAGUUUAUAUUACAGGGGAUUUAGCCUGGAUUGAUAAUCCCGCUGUGAGGAUGAAGUUCGCAGGAGUGUGCUCUCUGAAAUGGAAAUGUGUGCACAUGAAUAUGAAUUGACGGAUCUUGAUUUGUACACUAAAGUGUACCCCUGAAAAUCCAUCGAAAUUUAGAGAAAUUCAACGGGAUAAAUAUGGAAAAAUAAUAAGGAAAUGGAAAUCAUGGUAUUGAUGAGCUCAUCAAUCAUGGUAUUUAUAUUAUUGAUACAUGGAAAUUAUUGAACUAACUUAAAUAUUGAGUUUGUGCAUGUCAAGGGAAUAAUGCAUUGAAUGGAUGUAUGAAUGUUUAUUGCAUUGUAUUGAAAAUAUUAAGGAAGUAUAAUUCUUAUUACAUGAGCUUACUAAGCACAAAUUGCUUACCCUGUUUCUUUUUCCCCUGUGUUGUAGUGUUAAGAGCUUGAAGGUUGGAUUUGGUCGGAGACGCAUCACACUAUCAACCUCAAGAUCUCGGUAUAUAAAGACACUUUAUUUUGGAAAUCAAUGGCAUGUAUAAGCUAGUAAAGUAAAUGUUAAUUUGAAAUGAAUGUAUGGUUAGGCAUUAGUAUGGCUAACAAAUUGUGAUUUUGGUAUGUGAUGAGGUUGUCUUAUGAAUAUGUUAAAUCUAUCAUAAAAAUAUGUUGAAAUGGAUUGGUUGUGUUGGAUUGGUCUCGAUUUAAAAUUGCAGGGAAGAUUAGAU